AUUGAACGCUGGCGGCAUGCCUUACACAUGCAAGUCGAACGGUAACGGGCCUUCGGGUGCCGACGAGUGGCGAAUGGGUGAGUAAUGUAUCGGAACGCACCUUUCAGUGGGGGAUAACGUAGCGCAUGUUACGCUAAUACCGCAUCUUCUGUGCGCAGGAAAGCAGGGGAUCGCAAGACGUAGUGCUGAUUGAGCGGCGGAUAUCAGAUUAGCUAGUUGGUGAGGGAAAGGCUCACCAAGGCGACGAUCUGUAGCGGGUCUGAGAGGAUGAUCCGCCACACUGGAACUGAGACACGGUCCAGACUCGUACGGGAGGCAGCAGUGGGGAAUUUUGGACAAUGGGGGCAACCCUGAUCCAGCCAUGCCGCGUGAGUGAAGAAGGCCUUCGGGUUGUAAAGCUCUUUCGGCCGGGAAGAAAUCGUAUCAGCUAAUACCUGGUGCGGAUGACGGUACCGGCAUAAGAAGCACCGGCUAACUACGUGCCAGCCGCCGCAGUAACAC
rnacentral:rRNA from 1 species